UGUAAGAUGGCGGUGCCGGUGUGGCCUGGGUGCUCACAUGGUGGUGUGGAGGAGCCACCAUCCCCAACACCAACCCACCCACUGACCCGGACCUGCAUCGGACUGUGAGACCUGGGCGGACUCCCUAAAAUGAUGAGGAGCUGGAGUCGGGAAGGACCUGGUGUGGAGCACGCCGUAGCUGCGGAGGACAGAGCUCAGCGGGACGGCCGGCUCGCCUCGGGCUCCUUCCAGGGCCUCCGAGGGUCUCUUCUGACUCCACCAAGCAGCCGCCUCUAGCCCUGGGCUCUCACUACAGGACCUCUAGAGUGGGACUGGUGGCUUUGUAAGAAAAGGAAGAGAUGUGAGCCAGCAUGCUCAGCCCCCUCACCAUGUGUGCCGGCACCACCUCAGGACUCUGCAGAGAGUUCCCACCAGCAAGAAGCCCUCACCAGAGGCAGCUGCUCGACCAUGGACUUCCCAGCCUCCAGAACUAGACAGGAUCUCUGUAUGUUGGAGAUUGGUCUUGAACCACUGGUCUCAACCAAUCCUCCGCUCAGCCUACCAAAAGUUUCUCAUCUUUAAAUGGACUCUGACACUGGCCUGGGAUCUCAAGCUGGCAUCCCAUGAACUGGACCCCACGGGAACCUGCUUUUCGGAAGGAAGUCAGAGGUAGGUGCUUCCCCGGCUCUUAGCCCCGCCUCUUCCUGUUUGCAGCCCCUGGCACCCACAGCACCUCCUAAGACCCCACAUUCCCUGCUGAGGGUUGCCACAUUGUAUGCUGACCGUGCAGACCAUUGGAACCUUCCCUGGGCAGGUCAGGGUCCUGUCACCACAUUGUCUAGAGGAUAGCAGGUGCUCCUGAAGCAUUUCUGAAUUGGACCAUAUGUGAAAUGUACACCAAACGGGUUUUAAUAACCUAUUGCUCCUGGAGUAAUCGAAUUCACUGCUGUUGAACCCCCCCCGGGCCUGAGGAACUGGCUCAGAUGAGACUGAAGGAGACUGAAGGCACAUGGACCUGCAAGCAUUGUGGACCCUGCGCUGGAUCUUACGGAGGGGAAGUGCUAGACAGGGUGUCCAUGAGCCAAACGACUAAGUGGAAUAUGAGCAGACAGAUGCACGCAUGCAAGUUGCAUUUCCUAAGGCUGGAGCUGGAACGGCAGAGUAAGGAGCUUAGCAAAUCCUCUCCCUAAAAGGUAUCAGCAAAACGGAACCACCAGUCCAGGACUGCAAAACAGCCAAAAGCAUACAGCACGUUCAGACGUUUGCUUAAGAAAGAAAACCCUUGUGUGAGAAAAGGGGUUUUUGCCUGGGCUUCUUCUAGCCCCACUUCUCCCCAACCCCCACCCCGUUCUGGAGAUCUGCUAGGCAGGGGAAGCCAUGGGGCCCAGCAGCUUUACUGUGUGCUGGGGCUGGCUGGAUUUGAAGCAGGUCUAGUGGCAGUCUUGGGAAAGGCCAAUGUUGUAGCUAGCCUCAGGUCCUAACUGGAGUUGGGCAAACAUCAGACCAGCAGACUAGUCAGAAAUCUGGGAGAUUUGGAGAAUGAGAACCGUAGUGGGCCUUGGUAAGUGCCCACAUGUCCAUGGCAGUCUGGAAGGCCAGGUUGUGUGCAGGGCUGUGCAUAACACCCAGGAGAGACUGCAGAGACCUAGCUGUCUAUAGAGUCAGCCCCCUUUCUGUGGAUUCAACCAGCCAUGGAUCGACAAUAGUAAAAAAUGGCGAGGGAAGGUGACUCACGCCUAUAGUCUCAGCAUUUUGGGAGGCCAAGGUGACCAGAUUACUUGAGCCCAGUAGUUCAAGACCAGGCUGGCUAGCAUGGUGAAACCCUGUCUCUAUAUAAAAUAUAAAAAUUAGCUGGGCAUGGUGGCAUGCACCUGUAGUCCCAACUACUUGGGAGGCUGAGGUGGGAGAAUCACUUGAGCCUGGGAGGGGGAGGCUGCAGCGAGCUGAGAUGGUGCCACUGCACUCCAGCCUGGGUGACAGAAGGACACUCUGUCUCAAAAAUAAUAAUAAUACAGUUUUGGGGGGAACAUAAGAAAUCGGAAAGGUUAAUGGGUACACAAACAGAGUUAGAUACAAUGAGUAAGCUCUAGUAUUUGAUAGCACCACAGGGUGCCUACAGUCAGCAGUAAUUAGCUGUUCAUUUGAGAAUAACUGAGGAGCAUAACUGGAAUGUUAACAACACGAAGAAACAAUGAAUGCUGGAGGUGAUGGAUAUCCUAUUUACCCUGAUGUGAUUAUUACAUAUUACACACCUGUAUCAAAAUAGCUCAUGUACUCCACAAAUAUAUACACCUACUAAAUACCCAUAAAAAUAAAAAUGCAAACACAAAAUACAGUGUGGCAACUAUUCAUAAAGCACUUACACUGUGUUAGGUGUAGGUAGCACAGUGGUGAUUUGACGUCUGUGAGAGGACUGCACAGGUUAACACAAGUACUGUUCAAUUUUCUAUAAGGAAACUGGCUAUCUGCCGAGUUUCAAUAUCUCUGGAACCAAAUUUGGGGUUCUAGAACAAAUCCCCUGUGGCAACCAAGGGUUGACUAUAUAUCUCUGGCUGAAUGUGAGGCCUUGUGCCUGUCCAGAGGAGAUGUGAAACCUGACGAAAUGUGAAAGCUGGGGCACAUUUGUGCACUGCCUGAACUCUAAAUGCAUUCCCUAAACCACACACAGAUCCACUGGCGAAGCGUGGAAGCCUUACUGGUUAAAGGUGUUUAAGUCCAUUUGACCAAUCAUUGGCUGACCACACACGCUAAGCCACAGGCAACUACUAAGAAGAUAGACUUGAAAAUAAAAAUGGCCAGGCAUGGUGGCUCAUGCCUAUAAACCCAGCACUUUGGGAGGCUAAGGUGGGUGGAUGACGUGAGGUCAGGAGUUCAAGACCAGCCUAACAUGGUAAAACUUCGUCUCUACUAAAAAUACAAAAUUAGCUGGCCAUGGUGGUGCAUGCCAGUAAUCCUAGCUACUCAGGAGGCUGAGGCAGGAGAAUUGCUUGAACCCAGGAGGUUGCGGUGAGCCAAAAUCAUGCCCUUGCACUCCAGCCUGGGCAACAAAAGUGAAACUCCAUCUCAAAAACAAAAACAAAAACAAUAAAACCUUAAACUGAGCAGAAACAUCAGUGACUGCACGCUGAGGGAGAGACUGAGACAGAUUCUAUCGGAGUUCUUCAGUGAAGUCAUGAACACAAAAAUACAGCAACAGUCCCUUGGGGCUGAGGGGAAGGAGUAGAAUCCAGAGUUGCUACAAUAUUACCUAAAGCGUCCGGUUUUUAAAAUUAUGAGACAUGCAAAGAAACAGGAAAGUGUGAUCCCUGGUUGGUUAGUGAGUGGGGAGGAAGCUAGCAAUAGACAUUGUCUGAUGGGGCCCAGAUGUUUGAAUCUAGUAGACAAAGAUUUCAAAGCAGCUUUGAUAAAAUUAAGAACUAAAGGAAACCAUUUUUUA